rnacentral:rRNA from 1 species
AUUGAACGCUGGCGGCAUGCCUUACACAUGCAAGUCGAACGGUAACAGGUCUUCGGAUGCUGACGAGUGGCGAACGGGUGAGUAAUACAUCGGAACGUGCCUAGUAGUGGGGGAUAACUACUCGAAAGAGUGGCUAAUACCGCAUGAGAUCUACGUAUGAAAGCAGGGGAUCGCAAGACCUUGUGCUACUAGAGCGGCCGAUGGCGGAUUAGGUAGUGGGUGGGAUAAAAGCUUACCAAGCCGACGAUCUGUAGCUGGUCUGAGAGGACGAUCAGCCACACUGGGACUGAGACACGGCCCAGACUCCUACGGGAGGCAGCAGUGGGGAAUUUUGGACAAUGGGCGCAAGCCUGAUCCAGCAAUGCCGCGUGCAGGAUGAAGGCCUUCGGGUUGUAAACUGCUUUUGUACGGAACGAAAAGCCCUGGGUUAAUACCCUGGGGUCAUGACGGUACCGUAAGAAUGAGCACCGGCUAACUACGUGCCAGCCGCCGCCGUAAAAC